GAAUUUGCAACAAUUGAGCCUGACAGCACUCAGAGAGUCUGCUUUUCAGGGUUCUCGACAACUUAACAACAUAAUACUGAACAAUAAUCAACUUGUAGGCCUUCCUACAAAUGUAUUUGCCAACCUACCAGCCCUUCAGGAACUAAAGCUUAACGAUAAUCAACUUGCAAGCCUUCCUACAAAUGUAUUUGCCAACCUAACGGCCCUUCAGAAACUAUACCUGAACCAUAAUCAACUUGUAGGCCUUCCUACAAAUGUAUUUGCCAACCUACGAGCCCUUCAACUACU